rnacentral:rRNA from 1 species
AUUGAACGCUGGCGGCAGGCUUAACACAUGCACGUCGAACGAGUGGCGGACGGGUGAGUAAUGCUUGGGAAUCUAGCUUAUGGAGGGGGAUCACUACGGGAAACUGUAGCUAAUACCGCGUACCAUAGGAUGAGCCCACGUGGGAGUAGGUAGUUGGUGGGGUAAAGGCUCACCAAGCCGACGAUCUCUAGCGGGUCUGAGAGGAUGACCAGCCAGACUGGGACUGAGAGGCGGAGACGACUACUACGGGAGGCAGCAGUGGAGAAUAUUGCGCGAUGGGGGCAACCUGACGCAGCCAUGCCUGGAGGAUGAAGAAGGCAUUCGGGUUGUAAAGUUCUUUCGGUAGCGAGGCGUUGACUACAGAAGAAGCACCGGCUAACUCCGUGCCAGCCGCGGUAAUUC